rnacentral:rRNA from 1 species
AGCGAACGCUGGCGGCAGGCCUAACACAUGCAAGUCGAACGAACCCUUCGGGGUUAGUGGCGGACGGGUGAGUAGCACGUGGGAACGUGCCUUUAGGUUCGGAAUAACUCAGGGAAACUUGUGCUAAUACCGAAUGUGCCCUUCGGGGGAAAGACUUAUCGCCUUUAGAGCGGCCCGCGUCUGAUUAGCUAGUUGGUGAGGUAAUGGCUCACCAAGGCUACGAUCAGUAGCUGGUCUGAGAGGAUGACCAGCCAUAUUGGGACUGAGACACGGCCCAAACUCCUACGGGAGGCAGCAGUGGGGAAUCUUGCGCAAUGGGCGAAAGCCUGACGCAGCCAUGCCGCGUGGAUGAUGAAGGUCUUAGGAUUGUAAAAUCCUUUCACCGGUGAAGAUAAUGACUGUAGCCGGAGAAGAAGCCCCGGCUAACUUCGUGCCAGCCGCCGCAGUAAGAC